GUGGGGAAUAUUGGACAAUGGGGGGAACCCUGAUCCAGCCAUGCCGCGUGUGUGAAGAAGGCCUUUUGGUUGUAAAGCACUUUAAGCGAGGAGGAGGCUACCGAGAUUAAUACUCUUGGAUAGUGGACGUUACUCGCAGAAUAAGCACCGGCUAACUCUGUGCCAGCAGCCGCGGUAAUACAGAGGGUGCAAGCGUUAAUCGGAUUUACUGGGCGUAAAGCGCGCGUAGGUGGCCAAUUAAGUCAAAUGUGAAAUCCCCGAGCUUAACUUGGGAAUUGCAUUCGAUACUGGUUGGCUAGAGUAUGGGAGAGGAUGGUAGAAUUCCAGGUGUAGCGGUGAAAUGCGUGGAGAUCUGGAGGAAUACCGAUGGCGAAGGCAGCCAUCUGGCCUAAUACUGACACUGAGGUGCGAAAGCAUGGGGAGCAAACAGGAUCAGAAACCCUGGUAGUCC
rnacentral:rRNA from 1 species